rnacentral:sRNA from 1 species
UGAUUGACCAUUCCAUGGAAGUUAUUUUGAAUGUUAUUUUUAGAAACCAGAGUUUCUUAAAUAAGUAUUUCAUGUAAACAAAGAGAAUAUUAUCUCUCAUCUUUAAUGCAGGUUUUUGUUUGUUUGUUUGUUUGUAGAAUUACUCUAUGUCUGUAUAUCUUGUACGGCAGCUUACAUCAGCCAUGUUAUUACAGAGAUUAAAAAUGAAAGGUAUUAGAAACCCUGAUCAUUCCAGAGCACUAAUUAAAGAAAAACUUACUGCAGAUCCUGAUAGUGAAAUUGCUACAACUAGCCUUCGGGUAUCCUUGAUGUGCCCUGUAAGUAAAGCAACAAAACAUUUUGGGGAAUUUGACUUUUUAUAAAUGAUUAACUUUCCUAUAAAAGUAAGUGUGGGAAUGAAUGAUAUAUUAUGAAGAAUUCUGAACUUUUGUCUUUUCCCAUUAAGGAAUCUUCAUGAUUAAGUCACAAUUCUUUGUAUUAUUUGGGCAUGCAAAGAAUACAAAGAAGAGGGAAGAUAGCU